rnacentral:tmRNA from 1 species
GGGGCUGACUGGCUUUGACAGCGUGUAGAAGCGGUAAGUAAGCAUGCAGAGCUUUGGUGUUCAAGCUCUAUAAUCGCAAGAGCAUCGACUUAUAAUUGGCGAAAAUAACAACUACGCUCUCGCUGCGUGAUCUGAAGAACAGUAGGAUCCCUUUAUCUCUCUCAAAGUGAGAGAGACGAGACAUCACUCCAUUGCCCCGUUCCGAGACGUUUGGACAAAGUGGUGCUAUUAAAUUCGGAAAUAGGGAAGGUUGGGUUCCGACCCUUCCCGAGAUUAAGGAACUAAGGCCCGGGUUGGCUGUCGUGAGCCUGCCCGUGUUCGAAAACCAAUUCACAGACUAAGCAUGUAGAAAGCUUAUUGAUUCCGCGUUUGGACGAGGGUUCAAUCCCCUCCAGCUCCACUU